rnacentral:rRNA from 1 species
GACGAACGCUGGCGGCGUGCUUAACACAUGCAAGUCGAACGGAGAGGCCCUGCUUUUGUGGGGUGCUCGAGUGGCGAACGGGUGCGUAACACGUGAGUAACCUGCCCUUGACUUUGGGAUAACUUCAGGAAACUGGGGCUAAUACCGGAUAGGAGCUCCUGCUGCGUGGUGGGGGUUGGAAAGUUUCGGCGGUUGGGGAUGGACUCGCGGCUUAUCGGCUUGUUGGUGGGGUAGUGGCUUACCAAGGCUUUGACGGGUAGCCGGCCUGAGAGGGUGACCGGCCACAUUGGGAGUGAGAUACGGCCCAGACUCCUACGGGAGGCAGCAGGGGGGAAUCUUGCACAAUGGGCGGGAGCCUGAUGCAGCAACGCCGGGUGCGGGAUGACGGCCUUCGGGUUUUAAACCGCUUUCGCCUGUGACGAAGCGUGAGUGACGGUAAUGAGUAAAGAAGCACCGGCUAACUACGUG